CGAGCGAACAGACGAGGAGCUUGCUCCUCUGACGUUAGCGGCGGACGGGUGAGUAACACGUGGAUAACCUACCUAUAAGACUGGGAUAACUUCGGGAAACCGGAGCUAAUACCGGAUAAUAUAUUGAACCGCAUGGUUCAAUAGUGAAAGACGGUUUUGCUGUCACUUAUAGAUGGAUCCGCGCCGCAUUAGCUAGUUGGUAAGGUAACGGCUUACCAAGGCAACGAUGCGUAGCCGACCUGAGAGGGUGAUCGGCCACACUGGAACUGAGACACGGUCCAGACUCCUACGGGAGGCAGCAGUAGGGAAUCUUCCGCAAUGGGCGAAAGCCUGACGGAGCAACGCCGCGUGAGUGAUGAAGGUCUUCGGAUCGUAAAACUCUGUUAUUAGGGAAGAACAAAUGUGUAAGUAACUAUGCACGUCUUGACGGUACCUAAUCAGAAAGCCACGGCUAACUACGUGCCAGCAGCCGCGGUAAUACGUAGGUGGCAAGCGUUAUCCGGAAUUAUUGGGCGUAAAGCGCGCGUAGGCGGUUUUUUAAGUCUGAUGUGAAAGCCCACGGCUCAACCGUGGAGGGUCAUUGGAAACUGAAAAACUUGAGUGCAGAAGAGGAAAGUGGAAUUCCAUGUGUAGCGGUGAAAUGCGCAGAGAUAUGGAGGAACACCAGUGGCGAAGGCGACUUUCUGGUCUGUAACUGA
rnacentral:rRNA from 1 species